UACGGAGGGUGCAAGCGUUAUCCGGAUUUACUGGGUUUAAAGGGCGCGUAGGCGGCGCGGCAAGUCCAUGGUGAAAGCUCGCGGCUCAACUGCGAGUCGGCCAAGGAUACUGCUGGGCUCGAGCACUGUAGAGGCAGGUGGAAUUCCGGGUGUAGCGGUGGAAUGCGUAGAGAUCCGGAAGAACACCGGUGGCGAAGGCGGCCUGCUGGGCAGUAGCUGACGCUGAGGCGCGACAGCGUGGGGAGCAAACAGG
rnacentral:rRNA from 1 species